rnacentral:misc_RNA from 1 species
AAAGCCAUCGCAUCAUGACGACUGCACAAAGCAAGCACUAGACUUGACAUAAUCUCCAACUGCAUGUCAUGUUGAUACGGUUGAUCUACUUUGGCUGUCGUAUACAAUUGUAACCUGAAAAUCCCUGACUGGCUGCACAUAGACGAUCGAUUUCCUAGAACGUGAGGUGUACUGUACUGUGAGUUAAAGUCGCCUCCGUCAUAUAGCACAUUUCAUUCUGGCUGGGCACAGAGGACCAGAGGGUCUGAUCGACAAACACCGUCUGUCAUUAUUCAGGAAAAAGUAGUCUACCUGAGGACGACUUUGACUGAGAGGACCUGCAAGCGCACGGCAGACAUAGAUCAGGUAGUGUAUCUGUCUUGCUUCUGAGCUGACAAUCACUUUCUGACAGUGACUAGAAGUGAUUUUAUGCAAGUGGACCUGAACGUAAAUCAGGCGACGACUUGUCACGACUCGGCUGGCUUGUUGUUUAACAC